AGGACGAACGCUGGCGGCGUGCUUAACACAUGCAAGUCGAGCGGUAAGGCCUUUCGGGGUACACGAGCGGCGAACGGGUGAGUAACACGUGGGUGAUCUGCCCUGCACUCUGGGAUAAGCCUGGGAAACUGGGUCUAAUACCGGAUAUGACCUGCUCUCGCAGUGGGGGUGGGUGGAAAGAUUUUAUCGGUGCAGGAUGGGCCCGCGGCCUAUCAGCUUGGUUGGUGGGGUAAUCGGCCUACCGAAGGCGACGGACGGGUAGCCGACCUGAGAGGGUGACCGGCCACACGUGGGACUGAGACGACGGCCCAGACCUCCGUACGGGAGGCGAGCGAGGUGGGGAAUAUUGACACAAGUGGGACGAAAGCCUAGAU
rnacentral:rRNA from 1 species